GCCUUAUCUUGGGCUGCAUUAUC
rnacentral:siRNA from 1 species